rnacentral:rRNA from 1 species
AUUGAACGCUGGCGGCAGGCCUAACACAUGCAAGUCGAGCGGAUGAAGGGAGCUUGCUCCUGGAUUCAGCGGCGGACGGGUGAGUAAUGCCUAGGAAUCUGCCUGGUAGUGGGGGAUAACGUCCGGAAACGGGCGCUAAUACCGCAUACGUCCUGAGGGAGAAAGUGGGGGAUCUUCGGACCUCACGCUAUCAGAUGAGCCUAGGUCGGAUUAGCUAGUUGGUGGGUAAAGGCCUACCAAGGCGACGAUCCGUAACUGGUCUGAGAGGAUGAUCAGUCACACUGGAACUGAGACACGGUCCAGACUACUACGGGAGGCAGCAGUGGGGAAUAUUGGACAAUGGGCGAAAGCCUGAUCCAGCCAUGCCGCGUGUGUGAAGAAGGUCUUCGGAUUGUAAAGCACUUUAAGUUGGGAGGAAGGGCAGUAAGUUAAUACCUUGCUGUUUUGACGUUACCAACAGAAUAAGCACCGGCUAACUUCGUG